AGGUGACAGGACUAUAAGUUGCCGUCUGAUUGGUUGCUCUGGUCAUGGGAUUUCAGAGAAAUAACUCAGGUGGUUGGAUGCAGAUCAGACAGACGGAGAGAGGACGUGUGGAGGUGAAGAAGGACACUUCAGAGAGGACAUUUGGAGGUGAAGACGGGAGAGGACGUGUGGAGGUGAAGACUGAGCAUGCUCAGAGCUGCUGUACCUGCAUCAACAAACAGAGUCUUUCUGAUCUUAUCAGCAGCAUCAACAGUAUGAUUUAAAGUCAGCUUCUUCAUCAAUCUGAAGAGAAGAUCUUAACACUUCAGGAGGAGGAAGAGUCCUGAAGAUGGCUUCAAACCUGAGACGACUGAGCAGAGAACUCCCUCCUGAUUUAUCUGAAUUACUGGACAAACUCAAAAAACAUGCUGCUUCAUUCUUUAGAGAGUUUGACAGCAGUGAACCAAAGAUAAAAGAGAUUGUUAAAAAGUUUGAGGGGAUUGCUGAUGAAGUCAGAAAGAUGCAGAGGAGAACAGAUGCAGUCAGAAGAGCAGGAUCUGGUGUACUAGAAGUCUCAGCCCUGGGCUUACUUGCAAGCGGAGCAGCAGUAGCAGCAGCAGGAGCAGCACAGCAGCAGCAGGAGCAGCAGGAGCAGCAGUAGUAGCAGCAGUAGGAACAAUAGGAGCAGUAAUAGCAGCAGGAUCAGCCAUUUUAGUUGCUGGUGCAAAUGUAAGAAAAGGUAUAUCAGAGAGUGGAAGUGUAAAUACAGUAAAAGGGCUGUUGAAAGACUUUAUGAUGAUUGUUGAACCGCUGAAGAAGGACCUGGAAGAAAUAAAGAGGACAUGUGAGAAGUUGGAGCAAAGAUCAGCUGCUAAACUUCAGGCUGAAAAGACUCUGACAGACAUGUUGGGGUUCCAGAUUCUUACAGUAGUGUCUAUCCUUGGAAGCAGUGAGGGAGUAUUGUCUGCUAUGCGGAAAGUCUUCAGAUUAACUGCAACCCCUGAAGAGGACAGAGAGCUACCCGACUCCAUAAGCCAGUCAGCUGAUCGCUGUCAGGAAGUCAUCGAUGACUUGGAGAAGAUGAAGGAAGAACUCAAAGACUUCUCAGAACAGUGAUCACACACGCUGCAGUGGGAAG